CGGAGGGUGCAAGCGUUAUCCGGAUUCACUGGGUUUAAAGGGUGCGUAGGCGGGCAUUUAAGUCAGUGGUGAAAUACCUGAGCUUAACUUGGGAACUGCCAUUGAUACUAUUUGUCUUGAAUGUCGUGGAGGUUAGCGGAAUAUGUCAUGUAGCGGUGAAAUGCUUAGAUAUGACAUAGAACACCUAUUGCGAAGGCAGCUAACUACGCGAAUAUUGACGCUGAGGCACGAAAGCGUGGGGAUCAAACAGAAUUAGAUACCCUGGUAGUCCACGCCCUAAACGAUGAUUACUCGACAUUGGCGAUACACUGUCAGUGUCUGAGCGAAAGCAUUAAGUAAUCCACCUGGGAAGUACGACCGCAAGGUUG
rnacentral:rRNA from 1 species